AUGCGAUGAUGUUGAUCAAAUGUCUGAGCUGAAAGUAACUUGUAGACAACUUUUAACACUAAGGAA
ensembl:snoRNA LOC120101365 small nucleolar RNA SNORD78